rnacentral:lncRNA from 1 species
CUAAUACGUGAUUCUGUCUGCACCAGUUGUAUCCUAAUGGUUGGUCUGAUCAUUGGAACCUUUAAUGAACAAUGUUAAUCUGAAGUAAGGAUUAGCUUUAUAUCACAUGUGGACACUUUCAGUUACAAAUGCUAGUGCGGGUGAGGGCAGAGACACCUGCCUUCAGGUUAUUGGGCCCUGGGAGGCUGAAGUUUCACAGCGUCAUACUGUGCUCUUCCCUCGGAUGCACAUUCUUGAAAUGACUUCCCUGAAACUUAAGGAGGAAAUCAGAAAGGCACUGCAUUAUCUGCCCUACACUGUAAGGGGAGCAUGCUGUGAUAGAGGCUCGCCCUGGUCCCACAGACAGGAGGCAGCUGUGAGUGGAUCCAGGCGCCCUCAAAGAGUGGCUUUCUCCCCCCUUACUCUGCCUAUCUAUCAACACUGUUUUGGAUGGAGCCUGUGCUGGUGUGGACAGGGUCUCAUGCCAAGACUCUCCUCCAUCAGGCAAGUGCACCUAGGACUGGCCACAGCGCCCCAAAGAAAUACCUCACCCCAGUUUCAGGGUCCUCCCUCCUGAGCCUAGCUUUGCCAGGGUCCUGGGACAAUGCGAAUGGUUUUGAGCUGACCUCUGUAGGCAAAUGCUGAUGUUGGAUAAAGAACUGAAAAAUGUGCUCAACUUUCUCAUCUUUUCUAUUUUAUUUUUGUAAUUUAUAUUGUACACACCCUGGAAGUCACUAUUUUGGACAUGUAUUUUUAUAAACCGGGUAACUAAUGAUUAUCUGGAAUUUGCACUAGGUUAGUUUUUGUUGUUGUUGGCUUAAUUUUCAGCCAAAAGUGGAAUGACUGCCCCUUCCAGGUCUGAGUUUUCAUUUCAAGCGCAGGUCUGGAGGGCAGACAUGUCCAGCCAGGGUAGGAGCGCGGCCUCAGAACUCGGGCUGCAGAGUGCCUCAAGCACUGGGCCUGCAGUCAGAACUGUGCUCUCAUCUUUAGAACACAAAGACCAGUCCCCGGUGUUAGAAAGAGAAAGCCCUCCAUUGGCCCUUGUUGACAGCCAGGGCCUGCAUCUAAAGUAAAAAGCCCAACACUGGUUUCAUCUGGGCUGGGUGUGUGAGUCUGUCUGCUAUGACUCCUCUGAUGCCUCAUGCUGGUGGUAAGUACAGUAUGACCUUUCAGGUUGUGUAUCUCAAAAGUAACUGCCUAAUGUUUUAUAAUAAAAUAUAUCAUGUGUUUUGAUUGGUGGAAAAAUAAUACAAACUACAUUUUAAAAGAGAAAUGUACAGCAUGUCCAAUCCCUGUGUGUUUCAAAGUGACAAUUGACUGACUGUAUCUUUCCACAUCACCAUUUUGAUUACAAACUUAACACGAAUAGAUGUUGAAGUGUCGUAAUUUCAGACAUUCAAAAGUGUUUUCAAACCCAAAGUUAGGAGUGCUGCUGUUCGUUCUCUCACAGAGAAGCUCUUGCAAAUCUCUGCACCUGUUUUCAAAACAAUGACAGUCAGUUUUGACUUUAAGAAAAUUGUACAAUAUGGUUGGAAUAUUGGUGACGUUGUAUUCUCCCAGGAUGUAACCAGGAGAACCUGCCAAGCUGUCUUUAUGUAUACGUCUAAAAGCCAUUAAUGGUG